rnacentral:tmRNA from 1 species
GGGGGCGCACAGGAAUUGACGGCGGAGGAAUGCCGUCGGUGGCGCGCCGGGGCUCGUCGGGUGGCCUCGUCAAAAAAGACUCGGCAAACAUCAACUGCCAACAACGAAUUGGCUCUCGCCGCUUAAUCAAGCGGCAGGUCGUAACGGCGACGCCCACUAACCGAUUACGGCCUCACUGAGUGGGCUGUCCCCGCCGGUGGGUUCCGGGGCCGGCGGGCGAGGAUGCCUUCUCGGGACUGGCGUGGAGGUGAGCCUGUCCGUGGGCGCGUUUCCGCGCGAGAAUCAAUACACGCGACUACGCGCGUAGAGACCGGCCGCAAACCCCGACCGGACGUGGGUUCGAUUCCCACCGCCUCCACCA